rnacentral:rRNA from 1 species
UACAGAGGGUGCGAGCGUUGUCCGGAAUCACUGGGCGUAAAGGGCGCGUAGGUGGCCCGACAAGUCACUGGUGAAAGCUCGACGCUCAACGUCGAGUCGGCCAGUGAUACUGUUGGGCUGGAGCACUGUAGAGGCUCAUGGAAUUCCGGGUGUAGCGGUGGAAUGCGUAGAGAUCCGGAGGAAGACCGGUGGCGAAGGCGGCCUGCUGGGCAGUUACUGACACUGAGGCGCGACAGCGUGGGGAGCAAACAGG